UACAGAGGUCUCAAGCGUUGUUCGGAUUCACUGGGCGUAAAGGGUGCGUAGGUGGCGGGGUAAGUCAGGUGUGAAAUCUCGAGGCUCAACCUCGAAACUGCACUUGAUACUGCCUUGCUCGAGUACUGGAGAGGAGAUUGGAAUUUACGGUGUAGCAGUGAAAUGCGUAGAUAUCGUAAGGAAGACCAGUGGCGAAGGCGAAUCUCUGGACAGUUACUGACACUGAGGCACGAAGGCCAGGGGAGCAAACGGG
rnacentral:rRNA from 1 species